rnacentral:rRNA from 1 species
AAGCAGCUUGCUGUUUCGCUGACGAGUGGCGGACGGGUGAGUAAUGUCUGGGAAACUGCCUGAUGGAGGGGGAUAACUACUGGAAACGGUAGCUAAUACCGCAUAACGUCGCAAGACCAAAGAGGGGGACCUUAGGGCCUCUUGCCAUCGGAUGUGCCCAGAUGGGAUUAGCUAGUAGGUGGGGUAAAGGCUCACCUAGGCGACGAUCCCUAGCUGGUCUGAGAGGAUGACCAGCCACACUGGAACUGAGACACGGUCCAGACUCCUACGGGAGGCAGCAGUGGGGAAUAUUGCACAAUGGGCGCAAGCCUGAUGCAGCCAUGCCGCGUGUAUGAAGAAGGCCUUCGGGUUGUAAAGUACUUUCAGCGGGGAGGAAGGGAGUAAAGUUAAUACCUUUGCUCAUUGACGUUACCCGCAGAAGAAGCACCGGCUAACUCCGUGCCAGCAGCCGCGGUAAUACGGAGGGUGCAAGCGUUAAUCGGAAUUACUGGGCGUAAAGCGCACGCAGGCGGUUUGUUAAGUCAGAUGUGAAAUCCCCGGGCUCAACCUGGGAACUGCAUCUGAUACUGGCAAGCUUGAGUCUCGUAGAGGGGGGUAGAAUUCCAGGUGUAGCGGUGAAAUGCGUAGAGAUCUGGAGGAAUACCGGUGGCGAAGGCGGCCCCCUGGACGAAGACUGACGCUCAGGUGCGAAAGCGUGGGGAGCAAACAGGAUUAGAUACCCUGGUAGUCCACGCCGUAAACGAUGUCGACUUGGAGGUUGUGCCCUUGAGGCGUGGCUUCCGGAGCUAACGCGUUAAGUCGACCGCCUGGGGAGUACGGCCGCAAGGUUAAAACUCAAAUGAAUUGACGGGGGCCCGCACAAGCGGUGGAGCAUGUGGUUUAAUUCGAUGCAACGCGAAGAACCUUACCUGGUCUUGACAUCCACGGAAGUUUUCAGAGAUGAGAAUGUGCCUUCGGGAACCGUGAGACAGGUGCUGCAUGGCUGUCGUCAGCUCGUGUUGUGAAAUGUUGGGUUAAGUCCCGCAACGAGCGCAACCCUUAUCCUUUGUUGCCAGCGGUCCGGCCGGGAACUCAAAGGAGACUGCCAGUGAUAAACUGGAGGAAGGUGGGGAUGACGUCAAGUCAUCAUGGCCCUUACGACCAGGGCUACACACGUGCUACAAUGGCGCAUACAAAGAGAAGCGACCUCGCGAGAGCAAGCGGACCUCAUAAAGUGCGUCGUAGUCCGGAUUGGAGUCUGCAACUCGACUCCAUGAAGUCGGAAUCGCUAGUAAUCGUGGAUCAGAAUGCCACGGUGAAUACGUUCCCGGGCCUUGUACACACCGCCCGUCACACCAUGGGAGUGGGUUGCAAAAGAAGUAGGUAGCUUAACCUUCGGGAGGGCGCUUACCACUUUGUGAUUCAUGACUGGGGUGAAGUCGUAACAAGGUAACCGUAGGGGAACCUGCGGUUGGAUCACCUCCUUACCUUAAAGAAGC